rnacentral:rRNA from 1 species
ACCCGCUGAACUUAAGCAUAUCAGUAAGCGGAGGAAAAGAAACUAACUAGGAUUCCCCGAGUAGCGGCGAGCGAAAAGGGAGAAGCCCAGCGCCGAAGCCCGCGGCCUCUGGUCGCCGUGCAAUGUGGCGUUUCGGUGGCGGCUCGCCACGGCAUCUCUGGCAUGCGUACCUCUGAAUGGGUCUGCCCGCAGCGGGUGUCAGGCCUCUACUUGCCAACGAGUUGCCGCGGCCUGCCGUCCAUCGCGGAGUCGGGUUGCUUGAGAGUGCAGCCCAAAGUGGGUGGUAAGCUCCAUCUAAGGCUAAAUACCUAGUGCGAGACCGAUAGCAAACAAGUACCGUGAGGGAAAGUUGCAAAGAACUUUGAAAAGAGAGUUCAAGAGUACGUGAAACCGUUCAGAGGCAAACGGACGGAACUGGGCGAGUUCGCCGCCGUCAUUCAGCCGUCUGCCCGUCCUCGGCGGGCAGGCGGUGCACUUGGCGGCGGCGGAGCGCGACGACCGCCUCUUGGGUCGUCAGAAGCCUGGCGGCAAGGUGGCGACGCGUUCGCGCGUCGUGUUAGAGGCCGCCGAGGCGUCGGCAGACUCGAGGGGCGAGGAGCGCCUGCGGUGCACUCCCUGCGCGGGAGUGACCCGUCGCGGUGGGCUUGCGGAUGCCGGCGGCGAACUGCUCGCAGUUCGCUGUCGCGUCGUUCCGUCUGUCGCGCCGUGCGGCGUCACGUGGCACCCAGGGUCCGGGUCGCGUGGUUCCUGGCACUCCGUCCGACCCGUCUUGAAACACGGACCAAGGAGUUGAGCACGCUCGCGAGUCGAUGGGCUCGUAUGAACCCCAGAGGCGCAGCUAAGGCAAAACGGGCGUGAUCCGGCACUGGCGUGUCGGCGCAACGCCGGCCCGCAGCCGACUCGAUGCGAGUGGCUGCGGCGCAAGAGCGAGCGCGCUCAGACCCGAAAGGUGGUGAACUAUGCUUGAGCAGGGCGAAGCCAGAGGAAACUCUGGUGGA